rnacentral:tRNA from 1 species
CACUAAAGGAGCUUAAUGUAUACAGCGCUAGACUUUUAAUCUAGAAAAGAGUGUGAACACUCCUUAGUGA